CGGGUAAGUCCUACACGGCCAGCUCGCUUUGAAUCCCCCAGGUCUUGACCGAAGCAAGGGUGUUAGCUUGAGCGGCGCGAUGUAGGUAGCUUACCCU
rnacentral:SRP_RNA from 1 species